AUAUCAAUAAGCGGAGGAAAAGAAACCAACAGGGAUUGCCUUAGUAACGGCGAGUGAAGCGGCAACAGCUCAAAUUUGAAAUCUGGCCCUUGCAGGGUCCGAGUUGUAAUUUGUAGAGGAUGCUUCGGGCAAGGCCGCGGUUUAAGUUCCUUGGAACAGGACGUCAUAGAGGGUGAGAGUCCCGUCUUUAACCGCAUGCUGCGUCCGUGUGAAGCUCCUUCGACGAGUCGGGUUGUUUGGGAAUGCAGCUCAAAAUGGGUGGUAAAUUUCAUCUAAAGCUAAAUAUUGGCCAGAGACCGAUAGCGCACAAGUAGAGUGAUCGAAAGAUGAAAAGCACUUUGAAAAGAGAGUUAAACAGCAUGUGAAAUUGUUGAAAGGGAAGCGCUUGCAACCAGACUUGUGGUCGGUAAUUCAGCCGUUAUUCUUAACGGUGCACUUUGCCGUCUCCAGGCCAGCAUCGGUUUGGGUAGUUGGUUAAAGGCCCUGGGAAUGUAUCAACCCUCCGGGGUUGACUUAUAGUCCAGGGUGCCAUCCAACUUACCUAGACCGAGGUAUGCGUUCUGCACGGAUGCUGGCGUAAUGGUUGUAAGCGACCCGUCUUGAAACACGGACCAAGGAGUCUAACAUCUAUGCGAGUGUUCGGGUGUCAAACCCCUACGCGUAAUGAAAGUGAACGGAGGUAGGAACCCUUACGGGCGCACUAUCGACCGAUCCUGAUGUUCUCGGAUGGAUUUGAGUAAGAGCAUAGCUGUUGGGACCCGAAAGAUGGUGAACUAUGCGUGUAUAGGGUGAAGCCAGAGGAAACUCUGGUGGAGGCUCGCAGCGGUUCUGACGUGCAAAUCGAUCGUCAAAUAUGCGUAUAGGGGCGAAAGACUAAUCGAACCAUUGACCAAACAGCCACCAGGUGGUUCAAAAGAAGAGCCUGGAAAGGAUCUUCUAACAGCCUAUAUUAUAUGGGUCACACCGUUAUGUUGGCGGGAAGUCUUAACGAAGACCCGCAGCAGUGUCUUUUAGAGAUCUGUUCACAGACUAUAGAACGGUGGUUAGGGGCUUCCCCUAAUAAAAAUAUAGCCGGAAGGAAAGAUUUAAAAUAUCGUUAAAAUUAUCAUCUUUCUUAACGCUGGUAGCUGGUUCCUGC
rnacentral:rRNA from 1 species